rnacentral:lncRNA from 1 species
CAUGCUACUAUAACAAUUUAAUUCACAAGUGUAUAUAUAACUUAAUAUGUUUCUUCAUCCAAAAAAGCAUAACAUGAUUCAAGUAUACAUUAUUAAUUCAAUUUACUCUAUUAUAGGAGGUUAUUAUUCUAUUUUUCAUGUUACCUUACAAGCUUGAUAUGAUAGAUAAUAAUGUUUCAUCCAAAGGACUCACAAGUCCAUAAUUUGAGUGAAUUUGGUAAUCAGAAAAAUAAAUAAUGGAUCCAAUAUUGUACAAUGUGGCAAAGAACGGCAGGAAAUAGAUUUUAAAUAAAUUAGGACCUUCCCUCGAAAUUCAAUUUUAGGCCAUCAAAAGUAUUGAACCGCUCAUGU